rnacentral:rRNA from 1 species
GGAUGAACGCUGGCGGCGUGCCUAAUACAUGCAAGUCGAACGCACAGCGAAAGGUGCUUGCACCUUUCAAGUGAGUGGCGAACGGGUGAGUAACACGUGGACAACCUGCCUCAAGGCUGGGGAUAACAUUUGGAAACAGAUGCUAAUACCGAAUGAAACUUAGUGUCGCAUGAUACGAAGUUAAAAGGCGCUUUGGCGUCACCUAGAGAUGGAUCCGCGGUGCAUUAGUUAGUUGGUGGGGUAAAGGCCUACCAAGACAAUGAUGCAUAGCCGAGUUGAGAGACUGAUCGGCCACAUUGGGACUGAGACACGGCCCAAACUCCUACGGGAGGCUGCAGUAGGGAAUCUUCCACAAUGGGCGAAAGCCUGAUGGAGCAACGCCGCGUGUGUGAUGAAGGCUUUCGGGUCGUAAAGCACUGUUGUAUGGGAAGAACAGCUAGAAUAGGGAAUGAUUUUAGUUUGACGGUACCAUACCAGAAAGGGACGGCUAAAUACGUGCCAGCAGCCGCGGUAAUACGUAUGUCCCGAGCGUUAUCCGGAUUUAUUGGGCGUAAAGCGAGCGCAGACGGUUGAUUAAGUCUGAUGUGAAAGCCCGGAGCUCAACUCCGGAAUGGCAUUGGAAACUGGUUAACUUGAGUGCAGUAGAGGUAAGUGGAACUCCAUGUGUAGCGGUGGAAUGCGUAGAUAUAUGGAAGAACACCAGUGGCGAAGGCGGCUUACUGGACUGUAACUGACGUUGAGGCUCGAAAGUGUGGGUAGCAAACAGGAUUAGAUACCCUGGUAGUCCACACCGUAAACGAUGAACACUAGGUGUUAGGAGGUUUCCGCCUCUUAGUGCCGAAGCUAACGCAUUAAGUGUUCCGCCUGGGGAGUACGACCGCAAGGUUGAAACUCAAAGGAAUUGACGGGGACCCGCACAAGCGGUGGAGCAUGUGGUUUAAUUCGAAGCAACGCGAAGAACCUUACCAGGUCUUGACAUCCUUUGAAGCUUUUAGAGAUAGAAGUGUUCUCUUCGGAGACAAAGUGACAGGUGGUGCAUGGUCGUCGUCAGCUCGUGUCGUGAGAUGUUGGGUUAAGUCCCGCAACGAGCGCAACCCUUAUUGUUAGUUGCCAGCAUUCAGAUGGGCACUCUAGCGAGACUGCCGGUGACAAACCGGAGGAAGGCGGGGACGACGUCAGAUCAUCAUGCCCCUUAUGACCUGGGCUACACACGUGCUACAAUGGCGUAUACAACGAGUUGCCAACCCGCGAGGGUGAGCUAAUCUCUUAAAGUACGUCUCAGUUCGGAUUGUAGUCUGCAACUCGACUACAUGAAGUCGGAAUCGCUAGUAAUCGCGGAUCAGCACGCCGCGGUGAAUACGUUCCCGGGUCUUGUACACACCGCCCGUCACACCAUGGGAGUUUGUAAUGCCCAAAGCCGGUGGCCUAACCUUUUAGGAAGGAGCCGUCUAAGGCAGGACAGAUGACUGGGGUGAAGUCGU